UACGUAGGGGCCUAGCGUUGUCCGGAUUUAUUGGGCGUAAAGAGCUCGUAGGCGGCUUGUCGCGUCGGCUGUGAAAUCCCGUGGCUCAACUGCGGGUCUGCAGCCGAUACGGGCAGGCUAGAGUUCGGUAGGGGAGACUGGAAUUCCUGGUGUAGCGGUGAAAUGCGCAGAUAUCAGGAGGAACACCGGUGGCGAAGGCGGGUCUCUGGGCCGAUACUGACGCUGAGGAGCGAAAGCGUGGGGAGCGAACAGG
rnacentral:rRNA from 1 species